rnacentral:rRNA from 1 species
GAUGAACGCUAGCGGGAGGCCUAACACAUGCAAGCCGAGCGGUAUUGUUUCUUCGGAAAUGAGAGAGCGGCGUACGGGUGCGGAACACGUGUGCAACCUGCCUUUAUCUGGGGGAUAGCCUUUCGAAAGGAAGAUUAAUACUCCAUAACAUAUUGAACGGCAUCGUUUAAUAUUGAAGGCUCCGGCGGAUAGAGAUGGGCACGCGCAAGAUUAGCUAGUUGGUGAGGUAACGGCUCACCAAGGCGAUGAUCUUUAGGGGGCCUGAGAGGGUGAUCCCCCACACUGGUACUGAGACACGGACCAGACUCCUACGGGAGGCAGCAGUGAGGAAUAUUGGUCAAUGGGUGCAAGCCUGAACCAGCCAUCCCGCGUGAAGGACGACUGCCCUAUGGGUUGUAAACUUCUUUUGUAUAGGGAUAAACCUACCCUCGUGAGGGUAGCUGAAGGUACUAUACGAAUAAGCACCGGCUAACUCCGUGCCAGCAGCCGCGGUAACAC